rnacentral:lncRNA from 1 species
UCCAAAACUUCACUGAGAAACGAAAAAGUUCAUUGUGAGGCCAGGCGCGUGUGCCCCCUUUCAAGGAGCCCGGUGUAGAAACUUCCACCUGAACAUGCUGGCAAACUUGCAAGCAAAGGGGUCUGGGAAGGUAAAUAAUUUAUCUGGGCCCCAACUACACCAAGCAAAACUGAACUGCAUUAGGAAGGAAGUUGUCAAGACUGGACAAUGGGUAGGCAAUUAGCAGUCUCUGGCACAGGUAUAAAAUCCAUAGUCAGAUUCCAAUAACAAGCUCUCGGUGAAAAGGAUACUAGGACAUGCUUCAGCAACUCCUCCUUUUUCACCAGCACAACUUACU